GAACAGAUCAGCAAAUCAUUCCUGAUUCUGAAAAGAAAUAGAUCCUGAAAUUUACCUGAACCGCUGUGAUGUGAUUACCCUCAACCCGAUGUUGCGUGGACAAAUAGUAAUUCAGUUCCAUCUUGGUCGCAGGUGCCUGCAGCGUGCGAGACAACAGCAGUGAUGUUUAGGUUUGCAUCGGGCACUGGACUCUACCCCUGUUGUCAGACGGAGAGGAGAAGGGUACACCAUGAGCAGGUGACCAGUCUACUGCAGGGCUAACACAGAGAGCCUUUCACACCUAAGGCCAAUAUGGAAUCACCAAUUAACCUGACAUGCAUGUCUUUGGAGUAUUGGAGGAAGCCAGAGAGACACAGGGAGAACAUGCAAAUUCCAGACAGAAAGGCCACAGUCGACCAGUGGAUUUGAACCCAGGACCUUCUUCCUAUGAGGCAACCACUCCACCAUUGUACUGCCAGUUUUGAUAAAGAUCUGCUUCUCCUCUGAUAAAAGUCUGAAUUUAAACAAAUUUGUGUGAUAUGUGUAGUUUAAUUGUAAAACUAAACUAAUCAGAUUUUAGUCUCUAUAUUUGGAGGCAAGUAGAAACGCAGUAGCGAUGCUGCAUUCCUAAACAUCAUUUGCUCCCAAGCCAAAUCACACAAUACAUCUCCCAGUAUGUCUUACUACUCAGACAGUUGCAAGUGCUUAAAGAAAUCUGACUGAAGCAGGACGAUGGAGCAUGAAGGAUGCACAACAAAGAGAGCUGAAUCACACAGAGGAUAUGAUUGGAGGGAGCUGGGCAAAAGUCAUUAUAUAGAUUCAAGAAAGUGCCCUAAGGUUAGG